GGACAUUGCUGCAGACAGCUAUUAGCUGAGCUGCAGUCUGACACAUCGACCCCUGGCACCCAGAAAGAAGACCACACAGGAGCGCAGGACAGUAAUACAGGAGGGAGCAGGGGAGCUGCGGGAGCACCACUGCCACACCGGGUUUUCUCUGCCAUAUGUCAUCACAGCACUUCCAGUAAGGGAAAAAGAAGUGGCGGCACUGGAGUGGAGAUGAACUAAGGGAGUGGACCCGCAUGUGAAUAAGAAGUUUAUAACGUGCAUUAAAUGGCUUGUAUCUUCGGGGACAUCCAGCCCAAAAGCAAGCAAAGUCCUCGCCUUUUCUCUGAUCUAUAUGAACCUUUUCUAUGUGCCG